AAAUAAUGACAAAAUAAAUCAGGAAAACGAAUGUAAGAGUCAUUGAGGUUAGGUUCCCUUAUUUCUAUGCCAGAAAUUUACUUCUCCUGACUUCCUCACCAAGAACAGAGAUAAAUCCUUUGAAUCUAAGGUUUGAGGAUUCAUGACUAUGGAUGCUGCUGCGGAAUCAUCUGAAUCUAGAUUAUCCAGUUCCCAGUUAAACAAAAACAAGCCUUUUCACAAUGAUGAGAGUUGUCCUAAAGAAGUAUUACCUGUUAGGGGUUGCGGGUCGAGGAAUACAAGCCCAUCAGGUCGGAUAGGAUCGAGGAACACUAGUCCGUCUAGGCAGAAGGUGGUAAAGACUAAACCACGGGGUUUAGAUGAGGAGACGGUUGCUACAUUUGGUAAGGCAGUUCAUCCUGAUGUUCAAAUGGAAGAUAACAUAUGGGCAAUGUUGCCUGAGGACUUAUUUAAUGAAAUUUUGGCAAGGGUUCCCCCAUUUAUGAUAUUCCGGCUUCGUUCAGUUUGUAAAAGAUGGAAUUCAAUACUUCAAGAUAAUAGUUUUCUCAAGUUUCACUCAGAAGUGCCAUCUCAUGGGCCAUGUCUACUUACAUUUUGGAAGAACUCACAGACUCCGCAAUGCUCAGUUUUUAGUUUGCCAUUAAAAACAUGGUAUAGAAUUCCAUUCAAUUUUUUGCCUCAGUGGGCCUUCUGGUUGGUCGGCUCUUCAGGUGGACUAGUUUGCUUUUCUGGACUUGAUGGUCUAAUUUUCAGAGCUCUAGUAUGUAAUCCUCUUACACAAACUUGGAGAACACUGCCAAGCAUGAAUUAUAACCAGCAAAGACAGUUGAUUAUGGUCGUGGAUCGAACAGACAAAUCAUUUAAAGUUAUAGCCACUAGUGAUAUUUAUGGUGACAAGUCACUGCCUACUGAAGUAUAUGACUCAAAGAUUGAUAAGUGGACGGUCCACCAGAUAAUGCCUGCAGUAAAUCUGUGCUCCUCAAAGAUGGCAUAUUGUGACUCCAGGUUAUAUUUGGAAACCCUUUCACCCCUUGGCUUGAUGAUGUAUCGUCUUGACUCUGGAUAUUGGGAGCAUAUUCCAGCAAAGUUCCCUAGAUCUUUGCUAGAUGGUUAUUUGGUUGCCGGGACACAGAAGCGCCUGUUUCUGGUUGGAAGAAUUGGUCUUUAUAGUACCCUACAAAGUAUGAGAAUUUGGGAAUUGGAUCAUGCUAAGAUUAUGUGGGUGGAGAUAAGUAGAAUGCCACCUAAAUAUUUUCGAGCUUUGUUGAGACUAUCAGCAGAGAGAUUUGAGUGCUUCGGACAGGAUAAUCUUAUCUGCUUCACAUCUUGGAACCAAGGGAAGGGCCUAAUUUAUGAUGUGGAAAAGAAGGUUUGGUCUUGGAUUGCCGGCUGUGCUCUUCAGUCAUACAACAGUCAGGUUUGCUUCUAUGAGCCAAGAUUUGAUGCCUCUGUCCACUGAGCUGGAAAAUUUCCUUUUGAGAUGACCUGUUGAGAGGUUAACUUGUGGCCAGUAGUUCCUAUUUCUUUGUAAGAAAGAUGAUAUCUUCUUUCACACCAUCCUUUUUCCUGCUUCCUGCACAUAUUUUGACGGGAAUUACUUCUCUGCUGUUGGCGGAUUGUGCCACCAAGUGAUCCUUGCUACUGCAUCAGCAUCGUGAACAUAUCCUUUUCAAGCUAUUUACAUCACCAAUUUUUAGGCACUUGGUGAUAUCAUUCCAUACCUGGACUGAAUGAGGCACAUUGACACCGGGCUGGGUUGUACUUCAAUAACUAGAUGAGGGCUGAACUCCUUAAAGGUGUAUAUCAUGGGACUAAAAGAAUUCAUGGUUGCUGCUGAAGAAGUGACUUGAAUGUGUUGCAUAAGUAAUAGUGAGGAACAUCGUGCCGAGGAUUGUGUUUUGAACCACAUAUAGAAAGAUUAUAACCGUGUUGAAUAUUGAAGUAUAGAUGCAUCAUCAAAAGAAGCUGACAGGUUCUCAUUAAACUGACGGACAUAGUCUGUUGCUGUUGCUGGUUACCCUAGGAUGAAGCUCCAGAGUGUUAUUACUGCAACUGGAACUACUUCUGGGCCAUCUGGUUUGACCUUCUUGUUAAGUGGUUGAGCUAAAUGAUGACUUUGUUGCAGUGUGGGAUUACUUGGCUUACCUUAUUCUGAAUUCUGAAACAUCUUUGAAAUGACCUUAUCAAAUAAAACAACAUGAUGGAGCAGAAAUUGAAGUUUGAAAGGACUGCAUGUACCAUUCAUCAUCCUCUCAAACCAUCACUUUUUCCAUUUAGGUAGUUCAUUUUUUUAUGGUCAAAAGUGAUAAUUUAAGUAAAAUGAGACGAAAUUCAUCAUAUAAGUAAUAUUUUUGCCAAUUUUUUUGGUGAGAAAAGCAAUAUAAAACUCUUUCUUUUA